rnacentral:rRNA from 1 species
UACGGAGGGGGGCUAGCGUUGUUCGGAAUUACUGGGCGUAAAGCGCACGUAGGCGGCUUUGUAAGUUAGAGGUGAAAGCCCGGGCUCAACUCCGGAACUGCCUUUAAGACUGCAUCGCUUGAAUCAUGGAGAGGUCAGUGGAAUUCCGAGUGUAGAGGUGAAAUUCGUAGAUAUUCGGAAGAACACCAGUGGCGAAGGCGACUACUGGACAUGUAUUGACGC